rnacentral:rRNA from 1 species
CGUAAAGCGCGCGUAGGCGGCGUGAUAAGCCGGUUGUGAAAGCCCCGGGCUCAACCUGGGAACGGCAUCCGGAACUGUCAGGCUAGAGUGCAGGAGAGGAAGGUAGAAUUCCCGGUGUAGCGGUGAAAUGCGUAGAGAUCGGGAGGAAUACCAGUGGCGAAGGCGGCCUUCUGGACUGACACUGACGCUGAGGUGCGAAAGCGUGGGUAGCAAACAGGAUUAGAUACCCUGGUAGUCCACGCCGUAAACGAUGUCGACUAGCCGUUGGGGUCCUUGAGACCUUUGUGGCGCAGUUAACGCGAUAAGUCGACCGCCUGGGGAGUACGGCCGCAAGGUUAAAACUCAAAUGAAUUGACGGGGGCCCGCACAAGCGGUGGAGCAUGUGGUUUAAUUCGAUGCAACGCGAAGAACCUUACCUACCCUUGACAUCGUGCGAACUUUCCAGAGAUGGAUUGGUGCCUUCGGGAGCGCACAGACAGGUGCUGCAUGGCUGUCGUCAGCUCGUGUUGUGAAAUGUUGGGUUAAGUCCCGUAACGAGCGCAACCCUUGUCCCUAUUUGCCAGCGAUUCGGUCGGGAACUCUAGGGAGACUGCCGGUGACAAACCGGAGGAAGGUGGGGACGACGUCAAGUCAUCAUGGCCCUUACGGGUAGGGCUACACACGUGCUACAAUGGCCGGUACAAAGGGUUGCGAAGCCGCGAGGUGGAGCUAAUCCCGAAAAGCCGGUCUCAGUCCGGAUCGGAGUCUGCAACUCGACUCCGUGAAGACGGAAUCGCUAG